UUGUUGCUUUCACGAUAUAAAUGAGCACCCAUACGAAUUCAACUCAUCAUUUAGCUCGGUUGCAGCACAUUUGAAACGUUUUGCUGUCAAAAAACGAACAAGAUUUUUCAUGCACACAUUUCGAGUUUAGAAUCCAAAAGCAUAACAUGCAAUUUAUUCCUUCCAAAAAUAGUUGAAUUUUCAAAAUCCAAUCAAAACUAAAAUAUUGGAGUUUUCAUUGCAAAUUUUCAAGUAAAAAAAAUAGAAAAGUGAAUUAAUCCAAGCGAAAAUUUGAUUUCCAUUAAGUACGGCCUUAGAAUAUUCAAAACCAUCAAUUUCCAAACAAUGGCGGGCCGAAAGUUGGACGGAGAAUUUGAUCCUUGGCAUUUACAUUUUGACUGCGAAGAUUGCGGAAAAGAAUUCGUCAUAUUUGAUGUCAACCGAGCUGGAGAAGAUUUCAAGUGCAAAUCGUGCGGUUUUGAAAUGGAUAUGCCGGAUGCGAAAUGUGAUUGCAGUGCCAAAAAGUGGAUGUUGGUCGACAUGGGUUAUGAUAUCUGAAAAUCAUGUUUCGCCGAAUAACCAACCAAAUGGAUCAUCAUGAUUAUUUUAAUGUUUUGUGAAUCAUACCAAUGAUUAAGUUUUCUGUCAAAAUGCAAUGUUUAAUAAACAUUCAGUAUUUCUGACGAAAUAUCAACCGUUUUUUUUUGUUCACUCUUGAAAUUGUUGGUAGGAUUUUUGCUGAGUAUGGAUUUAUUGUGUUAACAGACCGAAUUGUAAGUAUCGGGCAAAUAAAACUAAGAACGCAUGCAAAUUAUAAUUGUGGAUGAAUAUGAUUUGUUUGGACAAAUAUCUGCCUAUCCUUGCUUUGUGUAAGAUUUCAAAUUUGAUAUUCAUAUCAAAAUUCAAUACAGUUUCAUUUACUCAAUCCAUUGUGAGGUUACACGCUCCCAAAAGUUAGUACAACAAUAAAAAAAAAUUCGUCAGCUGAAAAAAAAAAAUUAAUUGAAAAUUCUCUUCAAACCAAACUCAAAGCAUGUUAGAAGAAUUUAUUACAUUUGAAGAUGCACAUUAUUGUCACCAACAUUCCAUGGAGAAUGUGCAAACCGUGUUGUAGGUGAUGAACAAUCGUUGUAGGCAAUUGAUGAAAAAAGAACAUGGAAUUUUGCGUAAUCCAUUUUAAUACCGUCUCCAAUGAAUCAUUUUUUUUUCAAUUAGAAGAGCAUGCUAUCCAUCAUUCAUCGGAAAAAGCUUUAGAAAAGGAGCAAAUUCUCCAAUUUUGUUGUUAAUUUUUUCUUCUUCUUGGGAAUUCAUCAACGCAUCAAGUCACAAAUGAUAUAAAAAAUCCAUUCAUAUUGGCAUAAUUACUGAAUUGCAUAACAUUUAUCAUUUUUAAUUUAAAAAAAAAACACAAAACGACCAGGUGUUCAAAUAGUCAAGCCAAAUUUUAUUCGUAUUUACAAUGGUUAGCUCUCUAAAAUACAGUAUUUGAUUCAUUUAGCUCUCAGGCAUAAAAGAACAUUUGUUUGCCUCCAUUUUGUAAUUCAUUCUACCAAUUAAUUUAUAAUUCAUUGCAGGUUAUUCGAAAUUUUGUACGACCUUUUUUUUAGGAGGAUCUUAUUGUAUCCUAGAGUAAAAGUAAAAACAUUAUCACUGUUAUCAUUCUGCAGAGACAAAAACCAACAAAAAAAUCUUCGAGAUCUACAAUAAUCCAAAUCUUGGCAAUAUUUACUUUAAAUCAUUGAUUAAUUAAAAUUUGAUGAAAAAAAAAUUCCAUUAAAAGUGGCAUUUAAAAAAAAAACACAUUCUACAAAUGUUAAAAUCUUUGAAAAAAAAAAAGAACAAACGCACAAUCCGUUUUGUUUUCUUCUUCUUCAGAAUACUGAAUUAUGGUAAUUUCGGCGAUUAUUUAACAUGCAUUUAUCACACAGUUUAAUGUGUUUCUGGACUUGCAAUUAAUGUAAAAUAAAUAGCUACGAUAUAAUCUGAACCAGUUCGAGGGAGGAUGGCAAAGUCACAUUAGUUAGAAUAUACCAUUUGUAAAAUCUAUUUUUCACGACUGGCCCACAGUUGACUACGAAAGCGUUGCCUGCAAAUACGGUCAUGUUUUGUUUGCUGUUGUUCUUGUUUAAAAAGCGGCAAAAGUGCAUGUAAAUUAAUUUUUAAUCGACUAGUUGUUUGCUUUGCAAAAUGGUUCCAGUACACAAAACAGUCUACUUCCUAUUUGUUCAGGAUGGUUUUUUUGUUGCAUUAAAUUAAAUGUUAUUUUGCAGUUCUUUUGGUUUUUUUCUCUAAAAUAUUCUUUGGUUUGUUUGUGUGGCUGUUAUUCACAAUACUCUACUCAUUAAGAGUAACAUGAUCACUACAUAACAAAUUAUACAGAGUAUGGCUUAGGAGUUUGAGUGGAUGUUACUUUUGUGAAAAUUGGUUAAUGGCCAUUAUAUGCUUUUCUUCAUGAUAAGUACGCAGUACUUGGCCGAUCACACUUGAUGUCUCACUGUCAUUCAUCCACAUGCUCAUCGAUCCAUAGUCUUCCAGUAUCGAUAAAUAUGCUGUUGAUUAAUAUAAACGAAAAAAUAGACAUAAUCAUAAGUAUGUUGAAACAAAGUUAAAAUAGAAAAGUUGGAGAUUUUUUUGUAGUUUGAAUUGGACAAUUUUAACAGGAAGAAUAAAUUGAUUUUUAAAAAAAAUGGGACUUUUGAAAGGUUUGACUCACCGAUAAAAAUUUUCGGAUUUGAAAGGCUCAACUGAAUAUGCGGUGAGUUUAAUAGUGCGGCUAAUAUUGGUGAACCGUUUGGCAAUCCAUCGUUUUGUUCAAAUUGAUUGAUUUUACUUCGAUCGCCCACCAACCACUCGCAUGCAUUUGACUGAUGAUUUUUUGUGAUUUUGAGCGCUUCAUAUGCGGUAGCCUCAUCAAAACCCAUGCCAACAAUGAAUUGAAUCAUUUCGGCUGGCGGUGGUAAAUCCCGCUGACAAUAAAUCCGAAUUAUUUCCAACAAUGACUCGAUAUUGUCCUUGAUUGAUGCCUAUAAUUCAUUUUCAAUUAGAUUUCGAACGUAUUUUCCGUUUAAUGUAACGAAAAAAAAUACUCACAUUAUUGGUAAACUUGGAGGAUAAACUCAUGGCCGGCGAUUCUUCUGCGCCAACUAAUGGGUUCGUUGGGCUUUGAUUUUCAAUUAACCAUUCCAAGGCUGCCGCAUAUACAUUGCUGAAAAGGUAAACACAUGAAAUAGUGUAAAUAACACAAUUUAAAAUAGAUAAUCAAAGAACAAAUCGAACAUUAUUCCACAGUGUGGAAUCCACAAAUUUCGUCCUGAAAAAGAUCAAAUUCCACUUACUUCGUGAUGUUGAGUGCAUGUUGUACUUUUGGCCGCGAGAAUCCCAUUUCGAUGAGACAUUGUUGUGUGUCUUGUUCGUGUUGUUUUCGUUGUACGAGUCUUUGUUUCAGCAUACUUAUGAUUCGUGUUGCAUAUGGUCCGGCACCGAUCACAUAGGCACAUGAAUUCGCUAAAGAAAUCAAAAUUUUUCGAAUGUCAUACUGUACGUCACUUUGUAGCACCAAUUCAUCGAUAUUGACCACAUCUGGUCCAUGUAUAUUGUGCAGCGGUAAAUGUGCGGUCGCCAAAUCGAUAUCGAGCUGUGUUGACGAUGCAAUAUGUGUCGCAUCAUCGUCAUCACUGUCUGACUCACUGUCAUAAUGCAAAUGUUGAUGUCUCGUUACAUUUGUGGCCAAAUUUUCCGUCGAUUGCUUUGUUAUGGUUGUUGUCGCAACGGCAGAUAAUGUCGUCGUCAUCGUCGUCGUCAUCGUCGUCGUCGUCGUCGUCGCCACCGCCGUUGCCAUCGUAUCUUUGGUGUGUU